rnacentral:lncRNA from 1 species
AGCCAUCUCCCGCCCAGCACGUCAUGCCACUGCUGGCCUUUCAAAUAUCUGAAGCAUUCUGGCCAGUGGCAAGAGGAAUUGUGUUUACAUCUUCUCUGAGAGAUGUCCAGAGUUGAGAGAAAAAAAAAAUGGCCAAGACAGUGCUUUUGGCUUAUUGUUUGAAUAUUUAAAGACAUUGCAUCUGGAAAGUAUUCCAUUAAUUUGUGGCUAGCACCCAUAUAUCAAAUUCAUGAGCUUCCAAGUAAACAGCUGUCACUGAAGCUGCCACAGAGGGAAAUUGGCACUGCUGGCUUGUGGUGAGCAGAGAGGGAACACGCUGGUACAGCCUAAUCCAAGGAGGAAACAUUAACCCAGAUGUGUAGAGGACAAUGAACGAAUUGUUCUUUAGAGCUCCUCAGCUUCUCAGCUGGAGUAACACGAGACACAAUUAAGGCCUCAGACUAUUCUGUUCCCUCACACGCAUGCACAGAACUGCACGCACCAUCACAGCCAGGAAGAUGGGGUUGCAUCCUACAGCUAUAGACCAUAAACCAGCCUCUGAGUUGUGUCUGAGGGACAGCUGCCAUCUGUGCUGGAGGCAAAUCUGUCUCCAGGCUGCUUGGAUCACGUAGCUGUUGUUUGAUAUUCACAGAGCUUGGAACACCAACACCCAUUGCUUCUUCAAGGAAGGUUCCAAGACCCAUCCAGGUGUCGGUGUAGCAGGGGGCGCAAUGGGGUGAUUGUCAGAAAACUUCAGGUACUAUGGGGCUGGUGGCAGUGCCAGGGGCCUCAGCUGGAGCUGGGAUUUCCCGUGGGAGCAGCUCAGAGCAAUGCAAGGAGUUCCAGCUGAAAGUGCCAAGGGAGCUUCUGCUACUUCUUCCAACCUGCUGAACUAUGUUCAAUCCAGGGAUCUGCACCCCCUCAGUCUGUGGGGGAGCCUGGAAGGAGCCAGUGAGAGCACCGGGAUGCCGAAGGUGAAGUGAUGGGGCUGGGAUGUGGAAGGUUCGGAAGCUGCAGGUGAGC